GAUGAAGAACGUAGCGAAAUGCGAUAAGUAAUGUGAAUUGCAGAAUUCAGUGAAUCAUCGAAUCUUUGAACGCACAUUGCGCCCGCUAGUAUUCUGGCGGGCAUGCCUGUCCGAGCGUCAUUUCAACCCUCAAGCCCCCGGGCUUGGUGUUGGGGAUCGGCGAGCCUCCGCGCCCGCCGUCCCCUAAAUCUAGUGGCGGUCUCGCUGUAGCUUCCUCUGCGUAGUAGCACACCUCGCACUGGGAAACAGCGCGGCCACGCCGUUAAACCCCCAACUUCUGAACGUUUGUCCUCGGAUCAGGUAGGAAUACCCGCUGAACUUAAGCAUAUCAAUAAGCGGAGGA
rnacentral:misc_RNA from 1 species